rnacentral:rRNA from 1 species
GACGAACGCUGGCGGCGUGCUUAACACAUGCAAGUCGAACGGAAAGGCCCUGCUUUUGUGGGGUGCUCGAGUGGCGAACGGGUGAGUAACACGUGAGUAACCUGCCCUUGACUUUGGGAUAACUACAGGAAACUGGGGCUAAUACCGGAUAGGAGCUCCUGCUGCAUGGUGGGGGUUGGAAAGUUUCGGCGGUUGGGGAUGGACUCGCGGCUUAUCAGCUUGUUGGUGGGGUAGUGGCUUACCAAGGCUUUGACGGGCAGCCGGCCUGAGAGGGUGACCGGCCACAUUGGGACUGAGAUACGGCCCAGACUCCUACGGGAGGCAGCAGUGGGGAAUAUUGCACAAUGGGCGGAAGCCUGAUGCAGCAACGCCGCGUGCGGGAUGACGGCCUUCGGGUUGUAAACCGCUUUCGCCUGUGACGAAGCGUGAGUGACGGUAAUGGGUAAAGAAGCACCGGCUAACUACGUG